GUCAUAGGCAGUAUUCCUCCUCCUCCAAACACGGCGAGUUGAGUUGAUGCCAAAGAGCUUGAUUUUGGUCUCAUCUGACCACAACACUUUCACCCAGUUCUCCUCUGAAUCAUUCAGAUGUUCAUUGGCAAGCUUCAGACGAGACUGUGCAUGUGCUUUCUUGAGAAGGGGGACCUUGCGGGCGCUGCAGGAUUUCAGUCCUUCACGGCGUAGUGUGUUACCAAUUGUUUUCUUGGUGACUAUGGUCCCAGCUGCCUUGAGAUCAUUAACAAGAUCCUCC
rnacentral:lncRNA from 1 species